GACGAACCGUGCGAACGUUGUUCGGAAUCACUGGGCUUAAAGGGCGCGUAGGCGGGGAGGUAAGUCAGGGGUGAAAGCCCACGGCCCAACCGUGGAAGUGCCUUUGAUACUGCCUGUCUCGAGGGAGGUAGGGGCGUGCGGAACUUCCGGUGGAGCGGUGAAAUGCGUAGAUAUCGGAAGGAACACCGGUGGCGAAAGCGGCGCGCUGGACCUCUUCUGACGCUGAGGCGCGAAAGCCAGGGGAGCAAACGGG
rnacentral:rRNA from 1 species